UACGGGGGGAGCAAGCGUUACUCGGAAUUACUGGGCGUAAAGGGCGCGUAGGCGAUUCGAUAAGUCUUGUGUGAAAGCCCCGUGCUUAACGCGGGAAGUGCAUAAGAUACUGUAGAAAUUGAGUUCCGGAGAGGAAGAUGGAAUUCCCGGUGUAGCGGUGAAAUGCGUAGAUAUCGGGAGGAACAUCAGUGGCGAAGGCGAUCUUCUGGACGGAUACUGACGCUGAGGCGCGAAAGCUAGGGGAGCAAACGGG
rnacentral:rRNA from 1 species